GCGCCCGUGGCGGAACUGGCAGACGCACCGGACUUAAAAUCCGGCGCCUUCGGGCAUCCGGGUUCGAUCCCCGGCGGGCGCA
rnacentral:tRNA from 1 species